UUAAUUGAAGAGUUUGAUCAUGGCUCAGAUUGAACGCUGGCGGCAGGCCUAACACAUGCAAGUCGAGCGGUAACAGGAAUUAGCUUGCUAAUUCGCUGACGAGCGGCGGACGGGUGA
rnacentral:rRNA from 1 species